rnacentral:tRNA from 1 species
GACUCCAUAGCCCAAUAGAUAAGGUACUGGUCUACGAAACUAGAGAUUUUUGGUUCGAUCCUCAGUGGAGUCU